rnacentral:lncRNA from 1 species
AAGGAAGAGGGAAGAGGGUGGGAGCAGAAUUAUGAAGAUGAAGGAGGCACGGGGCGAGCUGUGGGUGUGGGCGUGGGUAUGGCUAGUUUCCUGCACCAAAUCUGUGCAGAGAGGCCAGAAGUUGGCUGUGAUUCAGAAAGGCAGAUGGAUAUCACUCUGAGCUGCUGCUCAAAACUCUAAACCCCAGAGCCACUGUUGGUUGAUCCACUGUGUUCA